rnacentral:rRNA from 1 species
CAACAGCUAGAGUUUGAUCCUGGCUCAGGAUGAACGCUGGCGGCGUGCCUAACACAUGCAAGUCGAACGGAGCACCCCGGAACGAGACUUCGGUCAAGGGAAGGGAAUGCUUAGUGGCGGACGGGUGAGUAACGCGUGAGGAACCUGCCUUCCAGUGGGGGAUAACACAUCGAAAGGUGUGCUAAUACCGCAUAACGUAUGUUUACCGCAUGGUAGAGAUACCAAAGAUUUAUUGCUGGAAGAUGGCCUCGCGUCCAAUUAGCUAGUUGGCGGGGUAAAUGCCCACCAAGGCGACGAUUGGUAGCCGGACUGAGAGGUUGAACGGCCACAUUGGGACUGAGACACGGCCCAGACUCCUACGGGAGGCAGCAGUGGGGAAUAUUGCACAAUGGGGGAAACCCUGAUGCAGCAACGCCGCGUGAAGGAUGAAGGUUUUCGGAUUGUAAACUUCUUUUAUUCGGGACGAAGAAAGUGACGGUACCGAAUGAAUAAGCCACGGCUAACUACGUGCC